rnacentral:rRNA from 1 species
GAUGAACGCUGGCGGCGUGCCUAAUACAUGCAAGUCGAGCGAACAGACGAGGAGCUUGCUCCUCUGACGUUAGCGGCGGACGGGUGAGUAACACGUGGAUAACCUACCUAUAAGACUGGGAUAACUUCGGGAAACCGGAGCUAAUACCGGAUAAUAUUUUGAACCGCAUGGUUCAAUAGUGAAAGACGGUCUUGCUGUCACUUAUAGAUGGAUCCGCGCCGCAUUAGCUAGUUGGUAAGGUAACGGCUUACCAAGGCAACGAUGCAUAGCCGACCUGAGAGGGUGAUCGGCCACACUGGAACUGAGACACGGUCCAGACUCCUACGGGAGGCAGCAGUAGGGAAUCUUCCGCAAUGGGCGAAAGCCUGACGGAGCAACGCCGCGUGAGUGAUGAAGGUCUUCGGAUCGUAAAACUCUGUUAUUAGGGAAGAACAAAUGUGUAAGUAACUAUGCACGUCUUGACGGUACCUAAUCAGAAAGCCACGGCUAACUACGUG